GUGUGAUCGAGAAGACGAUAACAGACUAUGAGGACCAGGCGUCGCAUCUGAAGCGAGAGGCGGACCGUCAACGCAACCUCCUGGAUAUUGUUUUGAGACCAAAGUUGCCAGAAAAUGGUUUGUAAUAAACCACUCUAUUGUCGUCUACUUCCAGGGAAGUGUUAUAUUUGAAGGUUUACGAUAUACUAUCUCUUUACGUACGCUCCGAGACGUAAUGCAGCAUGAAUGAAUCACUCCCUGCUAAUGUUUAUUUCGGCAUAUCGGAAUAUGGAUGCUUUUUUUAUUUUGUAAACUAUUAGAGCGAGCAUUUGUCAAACUUAACGUUACAAUCUUUUGUAAACUGUGGACAACAUGUCAUCAAGACCCCCCUCCCCGUGUUUUUAUUGUGUUAUUAUUGUGUCAAAUGAUAGCAUUGUUUUUUCAUUUAAAGAUGUCUUAUGCUCGAGAUUCAACAGAGAGAUAAGUCUGCUAGUAUAUUUAAGGUCAUAAUUAGUGAUCAAAGUGGGUAUGAUUCAGUUUAGAAUUGACAUUUUAUAUAUAUACUUUAUUCGAGACUAGUCUUAAAAGUGGUCCAUAGCAGAUAAUAAACAAACAUCAAGGGUUUGAUGCUGGUUACUCACAAGUGGGCAAGGUAAGAAGUUCCCAGUGCAAGGAAGGACUGCAAGGCUCUGUUCCCAUUCCCUUCCAGUUCCCUUCCAGCCCGCUGCCACCAACGCACUACAACCAGAACCUGGAUUCAUGUGUCAGCCUCUCCCAGUCCGAAACCCCAGCGGAUCCAGCGAGCCCCUAUGUGCGUUUACGUCACGCGAAGAGUUCCUGAAGUUUGCUUCUGUGGGCCACUGUCCAUACUGCUGCAAGGCCACAGAAGCCAGUGAGAUCCAUCUGAUCAAGAGGCACUAUUUAUUUGCCAUUCAUUACACUGACGAAGACGUUGAAAGGUUCACUGUGCCGUGUACCUGUAAGGAGAGGAUUAAGGGACGGAGUCACUGGCACUGUCCAGAUUGUGGAAAGACCAUUUAUCGAAAGAACAACUUUGAGAUGCAUCUCUCUAAACAACAUGGUCAUCUGUUACUGCAGCAAAGCCAAGAUCCAGAAGCGUUCCAGGCCUUCGCCCCGUUUGGAGAGGAGGACGGCCCCCCGGAGGAGUGGCUCUGGCCCGGGUUCAACAGCCUGGACCAGGAGGGGGGCGAGGAGGAGCCCCCCGCGCCGCCCCGCAUCAAGGAGGAGCAGGAGCCGCUGUGGAUCGGCCUGGAGGGGGGCCGCGAGCUCACAGUGCCUCCUGCAUGGCCCUGCAGAACACCCCAAGAGGAGCUGGAGAAGCUCCAGGUCAAGAAGGAGGAAGAGGAGCGGAACGAGUGGGGCUGUGAAGAGGAGGAGGAGGAGGAGGAGGAGGCGGGAGGGCUACCCCGUGGUCCGCACGACUCCAUGGCGACGGUCGGCCCCGUUAAGGCCUUCCAUCGGGACCUCGCUCUGACCUCCUCCUCCUCCUCCAGCUUUGGAAACACCCAGAGUGAGGCGGAGAGCGGGCAGAGGGACGCCUUCGCCACCACGUCCUCCAUGCUGCCCCAAGUGGACGCACACCUGGGAGGAGGAUCCACUGGGAUGAUGGAGCUAGCCCACGCCUGGCCGCAGCCCCACGACGACUGUUCCCUAGGCAACUACAAAGACCCAAUGGGGGGCCAGAGAGAGGGGGGCGGGGAAUGGUUGGGGGUAAAGACGCCGCGGCCCAAGAGGUCGAGGCACGGGAAAACCAACGGUUCUCACGCCGGGUUCAGGUGGAGGAGGCCGGGGAGGUUCUCCCCUUUCCAGAGCCCCAGAGGCCCCCAUCGAUGUAAACUGUGUGGGAAGGCCUUCUACUGCGUCUUGACCCUGCUGAAGCACGCACAGACACACGCGCAGGACGCAGGAUGUGUGUGCGUGGUGUGUGGAAAACAUUCAGAGUCCAAGGAGGGCUUGCUCCAACACCUACAAAGUCACAAAGAGAACUUCAAGACAUUUUAGUUUAGGUGAAUGCUUUCUAACGAUAAAAGAGGAGGCAAGUUUUGUAGUCUUGGUGUUCAAAACAGAUAUUUAUGCAGAUGAAUUAGCUAAACUAUGAUUUAGUAUAGGUUAUAUUCUAUGGGUUUGAUUACAACGUUGAUCAGGUAUCGGUGGUAUUGAACAAGUUUGAGCAUUGAUUCAGUAUAAUAGUUAAGCACAUAUAAAAUACAGUCUUUGUAGAACACAACAUACUCUUGAAAACAGUAAACUCCGCUCCAUUAUAUCAUCCAAUCACAGCUUUUUAAAACUGGAUCAUACUGGAAACUGCUGUGAGUUCCUACUUGCUAACAAAGAUUUCAACAGCUUCUUCCAAUUAUUUUUUUAUAAGCAUGUGCUGAUAAAUUAAAAAGUACUUUCCAAAUGUGUUUGAUUACCUCAGUGACAUUAAUAGACAAAUCCUUUUUAUACCAUUGGUCUAAUUUCAAAAUGAAUUGUUUUCAGAAUACUUACUCUAACUGCAAUUAAUAAAAUUGGUAAAACACAAUAUUACUUC
ensembl:lncRNA